GAUGAACGCUGGCGGCGUGCCUAAUACAUGCAAGUCGAGCGAAGCGGGGACGGGUGAGUACCACGUGUCUACCCUCCUAUAAGACUGGGGUACCUUCGGGAGACCGGAGCUAAACCGGAUACUUAUAGGUGUUUGCGCGCUGCAUUAGCGAGUGGGUAAGGGAACGGCUUACCAAGGCAACGAUGCAUAGCCGACCUGAGAGGGUGAUCGGCCACACUGGAACGGAGACACGGUCCAGACUCCUACGGGAGGCAGCAGUAGGGAAUCUUCGGCAAUGGGCGAAAGCCUGACAGAGCAAUGCCGCGUGAGUGAAGAAGGUCUUCGGAUCGUAAAACACUGUUAGUAGGGAAGCGGUACCUAAUCAGAAAGCAACGGCUAACUACGUGCCAGCAGCCGCGGUAAUAC
rnacentral:rRNA from 1 species